UACGUAGGGUGCAAGCGUUAAUCGGAAUUACUGGGCGUAAAGCGUGCGCAGGCGGUUGUGCAAGACAGAUGUGAAAUUCCCGGGCUUAACCUGGGAAUUGCAUUUGUGACUGCACGGCUAGAGUGUGUCAGAGGGGGGUAGAAUUCCACGUGUAGCAGUGAAAUGCGUAGAUAUGUGGAGGAAUACCGAUGGCGAAGGCAGCCCCCUGGGAUAACACUGACGCUCAUGCACGAAAGCGUGGGGAGCAAACAGG
rnacentral:rRNA from 1 species